GACAGGUAUGGGAGUGAGAAUGUUGGCAUGAGUAGCGAGAUGUGGGUGAGAAUCCCACAGGCCGUAAACCCAAGGUUUCCAGGGGAAGGUGCGUCCGCCCUGGGUUAGUCGGGACCUAAGCUGAGGCCGAAAGGCGUAGGUGAUGGACAACAGGUUGAUAUUCCUGUACUACCGAUAACCGUUUGAGGGAAGGGAUGACACAGUAGGAUAAGCUAAGCACACUGUUGGUUAUGUGUGCCCAAGCAUUGAGGCAGUCAAAGUAGGCAAAUCCGCUUUGAUAAUGCUGGG
rnacentral:rRNA from 1 species